rnacentral:lncRNA from 1 species
UAUGAAGCAGAAGGAAAUUUAAUGCAUUUCCUCUUUAUAUGGUAGUGAUCUAGGGUUUUCUUUGGGUGAUUCAAGAUUUAGACUAAUAUGAGAAGACUUAGUAAUUCUGGUGUGAAACAGGAUCUUCUUCUAUCACUAAUGGAUAAACUGGGAUACACCAGUCACUUGGACAAGACUAUAUAAGACUUACUAAAUGCGUCUCUUCGAUCUAGACAAGUGUCUGAAACUGUGAAGUAGUGGAAUUAUAUGAAUUCCAAGUUGGCUUAGCAUUGCCAAACGGAACUUGUAAGGUCAUUCUUUUAAGUUGUUUGCAUUUCUUUUUAGGUAAAAGGUCCAAAUUUGUCUUUGUACUAUCCGAAAUUGAGCAACUUUGCCGUCCGUUGAAACUUUUGUUCAAUUCAUACUCCGUCGGUUAGGAAAAAGUCUCUGUAUAUUCCCUUGCAAUUAAUGGAGCUCCAGCGUGAAAUAAUAGGUGGUCUCCACGUAUUCAAAUUCUUUCACUAAAAAGGUUCAGAUUUAACCCCCAAUGCUCGACUAUGGAUUAAAAUUACCUUCAAUUUGAAGCUCUGUUAGGGGUCAAGGGCAAAAACGGGAAGUCUAAAGGAGGGCAAGCUUUAUCAAAAAAAUAAAAACUUGAUAAAAAAGUAUAUAGGAGAGCAAAUCUGAUUAGUUUCAGAUAGAACAGGGGCAAAUGUAACCCUUUCCCCUCUUUAUAUUAUUGGACUUUCUUAACAUCAACUUCUAAAAUUAACCUUUACAAGCUCAUUGUUCACAAGUUACUUAUCAUUGCUUUACUAGAAAGGACAGUAUUCCACUGGGCUUGAGAUUUUCCCAUCUUGAAUUUAUCUCUUGUAACUGGCGAAGACUUCUACUGUAUAAGUAACAAAAUUUGGGGUUAUUAGUUGAGCGUUUCUGCUGUGAUCUCCUAUGCAG